rnacentral:rRNA from 1 species
UACAGAGGUCUCGAGCGUUGUUCGGAUUCAUUGGGCGUAAAGGGUGCGUAGGCGGCGCGGUAAGUCGGGUGUGAAAUCUCGGAGCUUAACUCCGAAACUGCAUUCGAUACUGCCGUGCUUGAGGACUGGAGAGGAGACUGGAAUUUACGGUGUAGCGGUGAAAUGCGUAGAUAUCGUAAGGAAGACCAGUGGCGAAGGCGGGUCUCUGGACAGUUCCUGACGCUGAGGCACGAAGGCCCAGGGGGAGCAAAACGGGG